CGGGGUGCACCAGGCGCGAAAACUUUACAAUGCCGGCAACGGCGAUAAGGGAACCUCGAGUGCCAGGUUACAAAUCUGGCUGUCGUGAUGCCUAAAAAGCAUUGCAUAGACAAGGGCCGGGCAAGACCGGUGCCAGCCGCCGCGGUAACACCGGCGGCUCGAGUGGUAACCGUUAUUAUUGGGUCUAAAGGGUCUGUAGCCGGCCGGGUAAGUCUCUUGGGAAAUCUGGCAGCUUAACUGUCAGGCUUUCAGGAGAUACUGCCUGGCUCGAGGCCGGGAGAGGUGAGAGGUACUUCAGGGGUAGGGGUGAAAUCUUGUAAUCCUUGAAGGACCACCAGUGGCGAAGGCGUCUCACCACAACGGACCUGACAGCAAGGGACGAAAGCUAGGGGCACGAACCGGAUUAUAUACCCGGGUAGUCCUAGCCGUAAACGAUACUCGCUAGGUGUCGGCCACGGUGCGACCGUGGUCGGUGCCGUAGGGAAGCCGUGAAGCGAGCCACCUGGGAAGUACGGCCGCAAGGCUGAAACUUAAAGGAAUUGGCGGGGGAGCAC
rnacentral:rRNA from 1 species